CAGAGGAAAAGCAGCUUUUCAGAAAACUGGAUGAGGUACCAGUUUAAAUUACGUGCAACCUGUAUGAAAAUGCCUCGUAGCUGAUCCCAGGGUGAAAUUUUUUUUAUGUAGAUGCAAGUCCUUCUGUUAAGACUUGUUCUGAAACUUGGCUGCUGCAAAUGAAGUUUUAUCUGACCUGAAGCUAGAAGAGUCUUGGGGCACAUACUUCCACAAUUAAGCUGAAGGGAAGAGUGAUGGAGGUGAAUUGUGUAAUCUAACUGGCAUCCUGGAUGAUGGGAGACGUUGGCCAGAAGAAAACAAGGAGUCUAAGAUUUAUGUCAUGUCUUGCAAUAGCUAUGCCUUGGCUUGCAACAAGGCAGAAAAUGAACAGUGCUUCUUCAAGCUGAUACAACAUUGAGAGAGCCCUUACUCACUAAGACAUUGCAGAAUGGUAUGAAGAAGCUAGUGUUUCAAGUUAAGUGAUAUCAGGGCCUUUU